AUUGAACGCUGGCGGCAGGCCUAACACAUGCAAGUCGAAUGGUAACAGGAAACAGCUUGCUGUUUCGCUGACGAGUGGCGGACGGGUGAGUAAUGUCUGGGAAACUGCCUGAUGGAGGGGGAUAACUACUGGAAACGGUAGCUAAUACCGCAUAACGUCGCAAGACCAAAGAGGGGGACCUUCGGGCCUCUUGCCAUCAGAUGUGCCCAGAUGGGAUUAGCUAGUAGGUGGGGUAACGGCUCACCUAGGCGACGAUCCCUAGCUGGUCUGAGAGGAUGAACAGCCACACUGGAACUGAGACACGGUCCAGACUCCUACGGGAGGCAGCAGUGGGGAAUAUUGCACAAUGGGCGCAAGCCUGAUGCAGCCAUGCCGCGUGUAUGAAGAAGGCCUUCGGGUUGUAAAGUACUUUAAGCGGGGAGGAAGGGAGUAAAGUUAAUACCUUUGCUCAUUGACGUUACCCGCAGAAGAAGCACCGGCUAACUCCGUG
rnacentral:rRNA from 1 species